rnacentral:tRNA from 1 species
GGCUCUUUGGCGUCGUGGUCAAAGCUGCAGUUUGGUACCCUGUUAGACCCGGGUUCGAGGCCGGGUGGGGUGA